rnacentral:misc_RNA from 1 species
CGAAUGGGUCCAAAGACUCUUAAAACCUACCGUGCUCCCCUACGUGGAAAACAGGAAAGCCCUCCGGGGCAUAGGAAAUCUGAGAAGUUGAGAACUGCGCCCCGGCGCAUGACUAAAACAAAAAAUUA